rnacentral:rRNA from 1 species
UACGUAGGGUGCAAGCGUUAAUCGGAAUUACUGGGCGUAAAGCGUGCGUAGGCGGCUAUGUAAGACAGAUGUGAAAUCCCUGGCUUAACCUAGGAACUGCAUUUGUGACUGCAUUGCUAGAGUGUGGUAGAGGGAGAUGGAAUUCCGCGUGUAGCAGUGAAAUGCGUAGAUAUGCGGAGGAACACCAAUGGCGAAGGCAAUCUCCUGGACCUGCACUGACGCUCAUGCACGAAAGCGUGGGGAGCAAACAGG